rnacentral:rRNA from 1 species
GGGCUGCAGUGGGGAAUUUUGGACAAUGGGGGCAACCCUGAUCCAGCCAUUCCGCGUGAGUGAAGAAGGCCUUCGGGUUGUAAAGCUCUUUCAGCUGGAAAGAAACGGUACGCACUAACAUUGUGUGCUAAUGACGGUACCAGCAGAAGAAGCACCGGCUAACUACGUGCCAGCAGCCGCGGUAAUACGUAGGGUGCGAGCGUUAAUCGGAAUUACUGGGCGUAAAGCGUGCGCAGGCGGUUUUGUAAGACAGAUGUGAAAUCCCCGGGCUUAACCUGGGAAUGGCAUUUUGAACUGGCAGUCUAGAGUGUGUCAGAGGGGGGUGGAAUUCCACGUGUAGCAGUGAAAUGCGUAGAGAUGUGGAGGAACACCGAUGGCGAAGGCAGCCCCCUGGGAUAACACUGACGCUCAUGUACGAAAGCGUGGGUAGCAAACAGGAUUAGAUACCCUGGUAGUC